rnacentral:rRNA from 1 species
AUUGAACGCUGGCGGCAGGCUUAACACAUGCAAGUCGAGCGGGGUGAUGGUGCUUGCACUAUCACUUAGCGGCGGACGGGUGAGUAAUGCUUAGGAAUCUGCCUAUUAGUGGGGGACAACAUCUCGAAAGGGAUGCUAAUACCGCAUACGUCCUACGGGAGAAAGCAGGGGAUCACUUGUGACCUUGCGCUAAUAGAUGAGCCUAAGUCGGAUUAGCUAGUUGGUGGGGUAAAGGCCUACCAAGGCGACGAUCUGUAGCGGGUCCGAGAGGAUGAUCCGCCCAACUGGGACUGGGACACGGCCCAGACUCAUACGGGAGGCAGCAGUGGGGAAUAUUGGACAAUGGGGGGAACCCUGAUCCAGCCAUGCCGCGUGUGUGAAGAAGGCCUUAUGGUUGUAAAGCACUUUAAGCGAGGAGGAGGCUCUUUUGGUUAAUACCCAAGAUGAGUGGACGUUACUCGCAGAAUAAGCACCGGCUAACUCUGUGCCAGCAGCCGCGGUAA